UACGGGGGGUGCAAGCGUUGCUCGGAAUUAUUGGGCGUAAAGGGUAGGUAGGUGGUCUCAUUUGUCUGGGGUGAAAGCCUUGAGCUUAACUCAAGAAGUGCCCCAGAAACGGUGAGACUAGAGUCCUGGAGAGGGUCGUGGAAUUCCCGGUGUAGCGGUGAAAUGCGUAGAGAUCGGGAGGAACACCAGAGGCGAAAGCGGCGACCUGGACAGGUACUGACACUCAACUACGAAAGCGUGGGGAGCAAACAGG
rnacentral:rRNA from 1 species